rnacentral:rRNA from 1 species
CCGCUGAUCCAGCCAUGCCGCGUGUGUGAUGAAGGCCUUCGGGUUGUAAACCUCUUUUGUCCGGGACGAAAGGGUGGGGGCUAAUACCUGCCGGUUGUGACGUUACCCUCAGAAUAAGCCCCGGCUAAAUCCGUGCCAGCAGCCGCGGUAAUCAA